GACGAACGCUGGCGGCGUGCUUAACACAUGCAAGUCGAACGGAAAGGCCCGGCUUUUGUGUCUUUGAUGUGUGCCGAGGGGGGGAGUAACACAUGAGUAUCCCCUCCCUGUCUGUCUGAGAUCAUUAGGAGACUGCGGCUAUUACAGGGGAUGAUCUUCUGCAGCGUGGGGGUGGUAAGUGAUUGUCGGUGGUGGGGGAUCUUCUCGCUGCUUAUCAGCUUGUUGGGGUGGUAGUUGAGGACCAAGUUUACGACGGGUAGGCGGCAUGGGAGGGUGAACGGCCACAUUGGGACUGAGAUACGGACCAGACGCCUACGGGAGGCAGCAGUGGGGAAUAUUGCACAAUGGGCGGACGCCUGAUGCAGCAACGCCGCGUGCGGGAUGACGGCCUUCGGGUUGUAAACCGCUUUCGCAUGUGACGAAGCGUGAGUGACGGUAAUGGGUAAAGAAGCACCGGCUAACUACGUG
rnacentral:rRNA from 1 species